rnacentral:rRNA from 1 species
AGAACGAACGCUGGCGGCAUGCCUAAUACAUGCAAGUCGAACGAAGGCUUCGGCCUUAGUGGCGCACGGGUGCGUAACGCGUGGGAAUCUGCCCCUUGGUUCGGAAUAACAGUUGGAAACGACUGCUAAUACCGGAUGAUGACGAAAGUCCAAAGAUUUAUCGCCAAGGGAUGAGCCCGCGAAGGAUUAGCUAGUUGGUGAGGUAAAGGCUCACCAAGGCGACGAUCCUUAGCUGGUCUGAGAGGAUGAUCAGCCACACUGGGACUGAGACACGGCCCAGACUCCUACGGGAGCAGCAGUAGGGAAUAUGGACAAUGGGCGAAAGCCUGACCCAGCAAUGCCGCGUGAGUGAUGAAGGCCUUAGGUUGUAAAGCUCUUUUACCCGAGAUGAUAAUGACAGUAUCGGAGAAUAAGCCCGGCUAACUCCGUGCCAGCAGCCGC